rnacentral:rRNA from 1 species
GAUGAACGCUGGCGGCGUGCCUAAUACAUGCAAGUCGAGCGAACAGACGAGGAGCUUGCUCCUCUGACGUUAGCGGCGGACGGGUGAGUAACACGUGGAUAACCUACCUAUAAGACUGGGAUAACUUCGGGAAACCGGAGCUAAUACCGGAUAAUAUAUUGAACCGCAUGGUUCAAUAGUGAAAGACGGUUUUGCUGUCACUUAUAGAUGGAUCCGCGCCGCAUUAGCUAGUUGGUAAGGUAACGGCUUACCAAGGCGACGAUGCGUAGCCGACCUGAGAGGGUGAUCGGCCACACUGGAACUGAGACACGGUCCAGACUCCUACGGGAGGCAGCAGUAGGGAAUCGUCCGCAAUGGGCGAAAGCCUGACGGAGCAACGCCGCGUGAGUGAUGAAGGUCUUCGGAUCGUAAAACUCUGUUAUGAGGGAAGAACAAAUGUGUAAGUAACUAUGCACGUCUUGACGGUACCUAAUCAGAAAGCCACGGCUAACUACGUG